UUUAAAUUAAUUUAAGUAUUAAUUGCUGAGUGUUAGAAAUUUUAAUUGUGUUAUUUGAAUUGUUUGAUAGGAAUUAUGUGAAUUAAAUUUGUUAAUUGUUUUAAUUUGCGAGUUCUUAAGUUUUGGUUGUGUGCAUCAAGGCGUAUGGUUAGUAGAAAUACACCCUAGCACUUGUGUGUGUGUGUGCAUGUGCAUGUAUGCAUGGUGAGCAUGCAUUAGUUCCCACACACCUUGUAUUUUAUUCACUCCUUUAUUUAUUUUUUUAUUUAUUUUAAUAUUUAAGAUAAGGAAAGUAAUGAGAGAUGUGAAGAAGGAAUAUUCUAGAAAUGUUUUGUACAUGUUAGAAAUGGGAAACCUAGAGUAGAGAGAGAGAGAGAGAGAGAGAGAGUAUGAGUGAGUUUUAGAGGGAAAUGAGAAGGAUUUUUCUUUUAUUUAUUUUUAUUUUUAUAUAUAGGAAUAAAAGAGGAUAAUGAUGGAUAGUGGUGAGUGAGAAGGAAGGAAUUGCUUGGGUUAUUUUAGGUAAGUGAGAUCUUGGUUUUAUGUGUGUGAUUUGACCAUUAGUUGGCCAUGUAUGAGAAUGAAGAGAGGGAGAGAGGGUGUCGGUCAUGGUAGAAGAGGAAGGAUGAGUGGUUUUCAUUUUGGGGUUGGUUGACUAUCACUUUAUUCUAAUAUGAUUUCUAGGCAAGAAUUUGGGAAAUUUAAGGGAUGGAAACUUACCUUUUCUUUUUUGCAUUAGGGUUGGACUUUAGGGUAAAUAAAAUGCAAACUAAAGAGUCUUGAGACUCACUUGGUGGUCGACUGCAUAGAGGAGGAAGAGAGGGAGAGAGAGGCUUCGACUAGAGAGAGAAAGAAAGAAAGAGAGGGUUCAUGGGAGAGAAGAAGGAGAAGGAGAAAAGGUUCGAAAAUCCUAGGGUAUCCAAAGUGGUUGUGCUCUUGUGUUCUGGAACACAAGCAAAGGAGGUAGGCAAUAGGGUUUCUUCUUGGCAUGCACUGUGAUGUGGGGAGUUCCAUUGUCUUGGCAUGUAUGACGCGGGGUUUCCAUGAAUGAAUACGAUCUAGUUGAACGCCAAGAAAGUUUAUGAACUUUUAUGUUAUGGUUUAUGUUUUCAUUACGUCAU